rnacentral:rRNA from 1 species
UUGUCAGGCUGCAACUCGCCUGCAUGAAGCUGGAAUUGCUAGUAAUCGCGGAUCAGCAAGCCGCGGUGAAUACGUUCCCGGGUCUUGUACACACCGCCCGUCACACCAUGGGAGUCGGAAAUGCCCGAAGUCUGUGACCCAACCUGAGAGGGAGGGAGCAGCCGAAGGCAGGUCUGAUGACUGGGGUGAAGUCGUAACAAGGUAGC